CUUGGUCAUUUAGAGGAAGUAAAAGUCGUAACAAGGUCUCCGUUGGUGAACCAGCGGAGGGAUCAUUACCGAGUUUACAACUCCCAAACCCCUGUGAACAUACCUUAAUGUUGCCUCGGCGGAUCAGCCCGCGCCCCGUAAAACGGGACGGCCCGCCAGAGGACCCAAACUCUAAUGUUUCUUAUUGUAACUUCUGAGUAAAACAAACAAAUAAAUCAAAACUUUCAACAACGGAUCUCUUGGUCCUGGCAUCGAUGAAGAACGCAGCAAAAUGCGAUAAGUAAUGUGAAUUGCAGAAUUCAGUGAAUCAUCGAAUCUUUGAACGCACAUUGCGCCCGCUGGUAUUCCGGCGGGCAUGCCUGUUCGAGCGUCAUUUCAACCCUCAAGCCCCCGGGUUUGGUGUUGGGGAUCGGCUCUGCCUUCUGGCGGUGCCGCCCCCGAAAUACAUUGGCGGUCUCGCUGCAGCCUCCAUUGCGUAGUAGCUAACACCUCGCAACUGGAACGCGGCGCGGCCAUGCCGUAAAACCCCAACUUCUGAAUGUUGACCUCGGAUCAGGUAGGAAUACCCGCUGAACUUAAGCAUAUCAAUAAGCGGAGGAAAAGAAACCAACAGGGAUUGCCCUAGUAACGGCGAGUGAAGCGGCAACAGCUCAAAUUUGAAAUCUGGCUUUCGGGCCCGAGUUGUAAUUUGUAGAGGAUACUUUUGAUGCGGUGCCUUCCGAGUUCCCUGGAACGGGACGCCAUAGAGGGUGAGAGCCCCGUCUGGUUGGAUGCCAAAUCUCUGUAAAGUUCCUUCGACGAGUCGAGUUGUUUGGGAAU
rnacentral:sRNA from 1 species